UUAUGUUUAUCUUAUUUUACAUAAGUAAUUAGUUCCAUCUGAAUUUACCAAUGAGGUUAAUUAUGUUUUAUUUUUGCAUUUGUUUUUAAUAUUUUCAAACUGAUUUUCUGUUAUAGUUCAAAAAUUAAAUUACAACCAUAUACUAGUAUAAUGUAUUGUCUGAAGUCUCCUUUAAUGCUUCAAUUAAACCCAUAUAAAUUUUGACGACAGAAGUUUAUUUAUAAUUUUGCCAAACACAUAUUUAUCCUGUACUAUGAAUAAAGCGUCUGUGGUGAAAAUUAUCCAAUUUAGUUACUAUCUAUUUGGUAAAAGUCAUAAAAGUAUUAUCACAUAUUGUGUCUAUUUAAUUGUUGGUUUUUAAACGACAUUAAACGGGCAAGUCAUUUGGUUUUAUGAACAAGAUCGAAACGCCAACACUCAGUCAAAGUUAAGAUGACAGAUGUGAGAAAAUUAUUCAGUAUGACAUGACGAAUGAAUAUUUUUAUGCAAUCAUCAGCAUCAACACAAGUAAUAGACAAAACGAUUACUGAGGUAUGCAUAAUACAAGGCUUGGAAAAUUCAAUAAAUUGAGAAUGGAAAUGGGGAAUGUGUCAAAGAGACAACAACCCGACCAAAGAGCAGAAAACAGUCGAAGGCCACCAAUGGGUCUUCAACACAGCGAGAAUAUCCCGCACCCGGAGGCGGGCUUUAGCUGGCCCCUAAACAAAAAUGUGUACUAGUUCAAUGAAAAUGAAAAAUACAUAUAAACACUUGGAACUAUCAUAUACAUAAAAUAAGUGUAAUUGUGUUAAAUUAUACAUCUAAAAAAAUGUCUUCAUUUUCCUCAAAGACUGAUUAAUUGGUUGUUAGUGUUUAACGCCACUUUCAGCACUAUUGGCUAUAUCGUGGCGGCCAAUUUUAAUUGGUGGAGGAAGCCGAAAUGCCGGAGAGAACCACUGAUCUACGGCAGGAAAACUGGUACUCCUAGUCAGUUAAGCAUUAAAGAUCGGAGUCGAACAUACCUGCCACAUGCUAGGUUCGAACUCACAACCUCAGUGAUGACAGGCUAGUCAUUGCUGUAGAUAAACUACUGAGAUAACUCGGCCACUCUUUUUCUUCAAAGAAUAGAAAACUACAAAUGCAUAAAAAGGAGGCAGAACAUACCAAAGGAAAAUCAAAACUCACAAAGUGAGACCAACAAAAUCGUGGCAAAAAGAAAAACAACAAAAAACGAAAAAAAACAAAAACAACAGUAUACAAAAUCCUACACAUAAAAUUAAAAUCUAACCAGCAUGAACCCCGGGUCAAUAUCAGGUACUCUGGAAUGGUUAACCCAUUCUGCUUCACAUAUGGCACCUUACGUUUUGCACAUGGUAAUUAAAAGUUCGGUGUUGAGUCUCAUUCGGUGAUGUCACAAUCGGGGAAGAAUGACUUCAAAAUCUGAUAUAUCCGUGGUCAACUAUGACACAGAUAUACCAAAACGGUCAAACACCUCAUGAUGGCGGCUGUAAACUUCCGAAGGGAUGACUUCAGUUUUACCACUAGGAAUCAUUUGUUCAAUAGCUUCCUUACUUUAAUAGGAUAGUUGGCAACGUAACCUGUAAUAUUAUUUUGCUGAAAAAGAAAUGUGUAUCUUAAAUUAAUUGGAUGUCUAAUAAUAAAAUUGAGAAUGGAAAUGGGGAAUGCGUCAAAGAGACAACAACCCGACCAUAGAACAGACAACAGCAGAAGGUCACCAACAGGUCUUCAAUGCAGCGAGAAAUUCCCGCACCCGGAGGCGUCCUUCAGCUGGCCCCUAAACAAAUAUAUAUACUAGUUCAGUGAUAAUGAACGCCAUACUAAACUCCAAAUUGUAUACAAGAAACUGAAAUUAAAAAUAAUACAAGACUAACAAAGGCUAGAGGCUCCUGACUUGGGACAGGCGCAAAAAUGCGGCGGGGUUAAACAUGUUUAUGAGAUCUCAACCCUCCCCCUAUACCUCUAGCCAAUGUAGAAAAGUAAACGCAUAACAAUACGCACAUUUAAAUUCAGUUCAAGAGAAGUCCGAGUCUGAUGUCAGAAGAUGUAACCAAAGAAAAUAAACAAAAUGACAAUAAUACAUAAAUAGCAACAGACUACUAGCAGUUAACUGACAUGCCAGCUCCAGACUUCAAUUAAACUGAUUGAAAGAUUAUGUCUUCAUCAUAUGAAUAUCAGGCACAAUCCUUCCCGUUAGGGGUUUAGUAUCAUACCAUAUAUGAGAAGAACAUAACCCGUGUCAUGCCAACAACUGGUUUUUAAAUGAAUGUGUUUAGUGCCGAUGCAAAGACCUAUUAUGUCUAUUAGUAUUAACGUGUAUUUUUUUUUCUUUCAUGUUACUUGAAUUGACGACUUAUACAGAUUGUACCGGUAAGUCAAUGUAUCAGUAAUAUUAUUGAUUAAACUGGGACUAUUGCGAGAAGUCACUGCUAGAAAAAUAUAUAACACCACAGCGUCAACUUAAUAAUAUCAUUAAGCUAUAGUAAGCUCUCAUAAACACAAUGUUUAAAGGUAACACUUAUCAAUUAAAACAAAGGUUUUAUAAUCUGUAAGGAUAGACAUUACUUUAUGGCUAUCAAUAUUUUUCUGACGUGGAUACGCCAGCUUUGUAAACAAAUAGUUGUUUGCUAACUGCAGUCUCUAACAUCAACAAUACAAUAUUGAAAUUUAUAAUAUAUAUAAAAAGGUGAACUUUGAUCGAUCAACGUUGAACUCUAGUUGUAGUUAAUUUGAACAUGCAAUUGACUGUAAUUUGAUAAAAAUAAGGAGAUUAAAAUCAUCCUCCUUGAAAGGAGAUGAAACAAACUUUAGUAUGGGAAAUUGAAAAUGCAAUAUGUAACCGUUUGUGAUAAACCUUACGGUGCCAAACGUGGAGCAGGAUCUGCUUACCCUUCCAGGAACACUUGAGACCACCUUCUGUUUUUGGUUGGGUUCGUGUUGCUCAGUGUUUAGUGUUUUCAAUGUUGUGUUUUGUAGACUUUUUUUUAUCUUUUCGUCGUUUUUCGUGUUUUGUCAAGGCGUUGUCAGUUUGUUAUCGACUUAUGAGUUUGAAUAUUCCUUUAGUAUCUUACAAGUCUCUUUUUUAAAGACUUUAUUUGAAAUAAUAUAUAUUCAAGUUAAUAUUAUAAGUUUUUGCAGUUGCAAAAAAAAUAAUAUGAUACAUUUGCACAUAAAAUUUUGUCAUUUGUCAUUUGAAAGAUCAUUUUGACUAUUUACUGUUAUAUGAAAAUAACAUAGUAUUCAGUAAAGAUAGAGAUACAUCUUUAGACUAUUAAUGUCUAAGUUUUUCUCUUUCAUUUCAUAUUCCACUGAAUCUGACUGACGAAACAGCUUUUUGGGGUAAGUUUUUAUUCGUUUCUGUGAACGUUUUUUCAAUCAUAUUUAAACAUAUAAAAUUCCAAUUACGUCAUGUAAAAUGUAUAUGCAAAUCUUUUUAAGAUUAAAAUGGUAUGAAAAGUACAAGAAAAGCACAAAAUCGUUUCAACUCUGAAUUGAAUUUACAUAUUCAAUUUGUUGAAAACAUCAUAAAAAUAAAAAUAAAAAAUUAAUACACUAAAUGUCAAAUUGAACACAAGAUGCUUGCCAACAUAUUUGUUAAUCAUACACGAAUCACCAUAUUUUUCUUGCCAAAAUAGUAAAAACUAACAUUUAGUGUUAACCAUCGUCAUAAUUUAUAACAAAAUAAUUUCAACCUUGCGCAUACUUUUUACAUCGCAAUGACCGUGAGGGCAUUCCGAUGUAUUGCUAUCGCCUAGAUUUCCAUUACAUAACUUUCGUUUUGGGUUUGUAACCGAUCUAUAAACAUGAUAAAUACGCGGAUAUUAACGAGUGCAAAUUAACAUUCCUUAUCGUUUGUUAUAAAUACAUCUCUUCAAUGAAUACU